CUGGUUAGGGCUCUACCCUAGGGACCCAGGUGAGGACAGGCACUUCUGACUUCUCCCAAAACAUUGCAUUUCCCAAGACCACCCUGGCUUGCCACGCCCCCACCUGAGCCUAUAAAAACCGGAUACCCUAGCAAGGCAGAGACAGAAGCUGUUGGACGGUGAGAGGAACACGUUGGCGGAAGAAGACAAGCAGCUGGAUAUCGAGGGGACAUCGAGGGGAGCAUGCUGGCAGAAGAACACACCAACAGAGGGACACCCGCACUCUGGCUGGUCUCACAACCCGCAGGACAAGGCAGAGUUUGGCUGGGGCAAUCGGAGGAACUCCAGGGAAAAACCAUCUCCCUUCUGGCUCCCCCAUCGGCGGAGAGCUACUUCCACUCGAUAAAACUUUGCACUCAUUCUCCAAGCCCACAUGUGAUUCGAUCCUUCCGGUACACCAAGUUUACAGAGGAUUACAUUCAGAAUUCUCUUCCCUGUGAGGUCAGAGCCAUGCUUCCCAUCACAGACUGGGAUGGUACCCAAGCCAGCACAGUUGUGCAUGCAGAAUGACAGCCUCCACAUUUAGACAAUGACUCAUCCCUUCGAAUAUCGCUGGGCUUGGAAUGACUUGAAAGAGAAGGAAGGAAGGAUAGCGAUGUUGAAAUCUCAGUGGUGUGCUGAUGGAGACACACUCCUGCGAAUGAAAACCAAAAAUGAAUGCUUCUGUUCCCUCCCUCACUGGCUGAUACUCAAUUAAAACUUUGAUACCAAUAAAACUUUGAGAGCCAGGCAUUGCUUUAAUAAGGAAAAGACUGAGUUAUACAUGCAGGAAAAUGUCUACAAACAUCCUAAACUUGAUUGCUUUUUGGGUAAUGCUAAUUUGUGAAGAUCAGUGAGAAAUGCACGUGGGAUGUAAAGACAAGUUAGUGGUCCACACUGAUGAACAGGACUUUGCUGUUGAUGCCUGCUGCAAAUGUGGGAAAUAAUCUCCAGUCACUGCCCUCCAAAAGCUAACAAUUUAAUGAGAAGCCAGAAUGAACACUUGGCAGAAACACACAAGUAUAUGGUAUUUAAUUUAAAGAGAACAUCAUAUUCUGGCGUUGGAGAAAAACAUCAAGGACGAUCCAGGUGAGAUGGAGUUAAUCAAAGAGGACUUACUGAAGAGGUAUGAGCUUUGUGCCACGAGAUUUGGAAGGAAGGAAAGACCAGAUGGCAAGAAGGCUAGGAAGCAGAUGCCCAAAGCAGGUGAAUGGCUUGUACAUACGCCCAGAAGAGGAGAAAUGGUGAAUGCAGCAAAUCCUCACAUCAGGAAGAUAAGGCUGUUUAUAUUUACAUAUUUCUGUACACUUCUCAAAGCAAGUUACCCCAUUCUAUGUGGACGAUGACUUCAGGAAACAGGUAAGACAGGGAUCAAGUUCAUUUUACAGAGGAAGAAACAGGUUUAAUAAGAUAAAGCUUGCCUUAGGGCUUAUAGCCAGC
rnacentral:lncRNA from 1 species